GGAGAUCAAACCUUAAAUCCCAAGCAAAAUGGGAAGAAUAGACCAAAGAGGAGAAGGGGGAAGGAGCCCUACCUUGCUCUCCACCUUUCUCAGCUCAGAGGAGGCCCUAAGGGGCGUGGGGUAUGUAUAGAGUUGCUACAAAAGCAAAUACACCCCUCAAAGCUGUCAAAAUUGCAGUCUGCCAAAGUGUACCCAUACACGGGAAAGUGUAC
rnacentral:lncRNA from 1 species